rnacentral:rRNA from 1 species
CCUACGGGUGGCAGCAGUGGGGGAUAUUGCACAAUGGGGGGAACCCUGAUGCAGCGACGCCGCGUGGGUGAAGAAGCGCCUCGGCGUGUAAAGCCCUGUCUGCAGGGAAGAAAAUGAUGGUACCUGAAGCAGAAGCACCGGCUAACGACGGGCCAGCAGCCGCGGCAACACGGAGGGGGCAAGCGUUAUCCGGAUUUACUGGGUGUAAAGGGGGCGCAGUCGGCGAUGCAAGCCAGGAGUGAAAGCCCGGGGCCCAACCCCGGGACUGCACUUGAAACUGGGUGGCUGGAGUGCAGUAGAGGCAGGCGGAAUUCGUGGUGUAGCGGUGAAAUGCGUAGAUAUCAGGAGGAACACCGGUGGCGAAGGCGGCCUGCUGGACUGCAACUGACGUUGAGGCCCGAAAGCGUGGGGAGCAAACAGGAUUAGAUACCCGGGUAGUC